GAUGAACGCUGGCGGCGUGCCUAAUACAUGCAAGUCGAACGCGCAGCGAAAGGUGCUUGCACCUUUCAAGCGAGUGGCGAACGGGUGAGUAACACGUGGAUAACCUGCCUCAAGGCUGGGGAUAACAUUUGGAAACAGAUGCUAAUACCGAAUAAAACUUAGUAUCGCAUGAUACAAAGUUAAAAGGCGCUACGGCGUCACCUAGAGAUGGAUCCGCGGUGCAUUAGUUAGUUGGUGGGGUAAAGGCUUACCAAGACAAUGAUGCAUAGCCGAGUUGAGAGACUGAUCGGCCACAUUGGGACUGAGACACGGCCCAAACUCCUACGGGAGGCUGCAGUAGGGAAUCUUCCACAAUGGGCGCAAGCCUGAUGGAGCAACGCCGCGUGUGUGAUGAAGGCUUUCGGGUCGUAAAGCACUGUUGUAU
rnacentral:rRNA from 1 species